CCUACUUCGAGGUCUGCGGAGGAUCCCCUGACACCUCAGUCCCCGCGAUGAGGGGACUGCAGUUGGAGGAACGCGCGUUUCUCUUCCGCUCCCUAAGUUUGGCCUCUGCAGCAGCCGUCACACGCAGGCGCGGAGGUAGCUGGGAAAAGGCAGUUUCCUCACAACGACCCCCGAAGUUUGUGUGUGCCACCGAGUGCUGCAGGUUUGUUUGGCACGGAUUGGAUUGGCAAUCACUUUCAACUUUUGGGGGGAGCUGUUUCUUUCAGUGAUUAGUUUUAUGAUGAUCUGAAGAUAUUUCCUGGAUGUGGACUGUAAUUUUUCAAAACCACGGUGUGGCAAAAGCACUGUAUAGCAUUUGUUGAAAAAUGUUUGGGAGAUUGACUCUUCCACAACUGCUUUUUGCUAGCAUCCUCGGAAUUGCUGGAGGGAUGUAUAUUUAUCAACCAGUAUUUGAACAGUACUACCGAGAUCAGAUGGAAUUAAAAGAAAAGUUGAAAUUGGCACAAGAAUCAGAAGAGAAGAAAAGUUAAUACUACAUGAAGUUGAAAUGUAAUUGUUUAAAGUUCUAUUGAAAUUAUACAUUGACUAUAAAUAAUCUAGUAAAAACUUCUCAAGUAUAUUUUAAACACAAAUAAAUCAUAGGUAAUGAUUUUAAAACAAGC